rnacentral:rRNA from 1 species
CAUCGCCUCCUGAUAAACAUAGGAGGUCCAGCCUGCCCAGUGACAACGUUCAACGGCCGCGGUACCCUAACCGUGCAAAGGUAGCAUAAUCACUUGUUCUUUAAAUGGGGACUCGUAUCAAAGGCACCACGAGGACUAUACUGUCUCCCCUCUCCAAUCAGUGAAACUGAUCCCCCCGUGAAGAAGCGGGGAUUAAACUAUAAGACGAGAAGACCCCAUGGAGCUUUAGACUUAAUAUGCACCCUUGCAGAACUAUAACAGUAAAGCUAUUAAGAUAUGUAUAUUGUCUUAGGUUGGGGAGACCGCGGAGUAAAACUUAGCCUCCACGACAAACGGGCUAACGCCCUUAUCCAAGAAACACAUUUCUAAGAGUCAAUUAAUUGUUGUUUAUGACCCAUUUUAUGAUCAACGAACCAAGUUACCCUGGGGAUAACAGCGCAAUCUACUUCAAGAGCCCCUAUCGACAAGUAGGUUUACGACCUCGAUGUUGGAUCAGGGAAUCCCAGUGGCGCAACCGCUACUAAUGG